CGAGUACGCCGGGCAGUUACGCCUGAUUAUUCAGGUGAGGAAAGUCCGGGCUCCACAGAGCAGGGUAACGGCUAACGGCCGCCGAGGGUGACCUUAAGGGAAAGUGCAACAGAGAUAUACCGCCUGUUUUUACAGGUAAGGGUGGAAAGGCGAGGUAAGAGCUCACCGGCAUACAGGAGACUGCUAUGCCCUGUAAACCCUAUCCGGAGCAACACCGACAGAAGUGGCUUGCUCGGCCAUAACUUCGACGGGUGGCGUGAGCGCAGAAGCAAUUCUGCGCCAAGACAGAUGACUGCCUUAAAAGACAGAACCCGGCUUACAGGCUGACUCGCACA
rnacentral:RNase_P_RNA from 1 species